rnacentral:rRNA from 1 species
AACGAACGCUGGCGGCAGGCUUAACACAUGCAAGUCGAACGCGUGCAGCAAUGCACGAGUGGCGCACGGGUGAGUAACGAGUGGAUAUCUGCCUUUUGGUUCGGAAUAACCCCGGGAAACUGGGGCUAAUACCGGAUGGUUCCUACGGGAUAAAGAUUUAUCGCCAAAAGAUGAGUCCGCGUCCGAUUAGCUAGUUGGUGAGGUAAUGGCUCACCAAGGCGACGAUCGGUAGCUGGUCUGAGAGGACGAUCAGCCACACUGGGACUGAGACACGGCCCAGACUCCUACGGGAGGCAGCAGUGGGGAAUAUUGGACAAUGGGGGCAACCCUGAACCAGCCAUGCCGCGUGAGUGAUGAAGGCCUGCGGGUUGUAAAGCUCUUUUGGCGGGGACGAUGAUGACGGUACCCGCAGAAUAAGCCCCGGCUAACUUCGUG